rnacentral:lncRNA from 1 species
UCCAUAUUACAUAUUCCCAUAUACAUUAAUUACCAUAAUUAAAUACACCCAACCAACAUAGCCGUUGGGUGUUCCUCUAUAUAAACACAUCUAACCCUAGUUCAAUUUUACACACGAUCAUACACACACACACUCCGUAAUACAAUUACAGACUCUGUGAUACUCUGUCUGAUCAUUCUGCAACUACAACUGCUGAUCUUCAAAACGCUUCCGCAAUACAACAACUUGAAUCACAGAUUCAAGUUCAAAUCAUCUUCAAUUCACUUCAACAAGAUGUGGAUCAUCGCUUCAUCAAACCUUGAUCAACCGAUCAUCCUACAGUAUCAAUUUACAGUUCAUUAUCAUAUCAUCAUACAUACAUCCAUAAUUCAAUAUCUAUCACAUUCAUAAACCAUAUUUCAUAUUUAUAUUUGCAUAUAUAUCAAAUAUAUCUUCU